rnacentral:rRNA from 1 species
GACGAACGCUGGCGGCGUGCCUAACACAUGCAAGUCGAACGGUAACAGGUUAAGCUGACGAGUGGCGAACGGGUGAGUAAUAUAUCGGAACGUGCCCAGUUGUGGGGGAUAACUGCUCGAAAGAGCAGCUAAUACCGCAUACGACCUGAGGGUGAAAGCGGGGGAUCGCAAGACCUCGCGCAAUUGGAGCGGCCGAUAUCAGAUUAGCUAGUUGGCGGGGUAAAAGCCCACCAAGGCGACGAUCUGUAGCUGGUCUGAGAGGACGACCAGCCACACUGGGACUGAGACACGGCCCAGACUCCUACGGGAGGCAGCAGUGGGGAAUUUUGGACAAUGCCCGCAAGGGUGAUCCAGCCAUGCCGCGUGCAGGAAGACGGCCCUAUGGGUUGUAAACUGCUUUUGUCAGGGAAGAAACGGCCUGGGUUAAUACCUUGGGCUAGUGACGGUACCUGAAGAAUAAGCACCGGCUA